rnacentral:rRNA from 1 species
UACAGAGGGUGCGAGCGUUGUCCGGAAUCACUGGGCGUAAAGGGCGCGUAGGUGGCGCGACAAGUCAGUGGUGAAAGCUCGACGCUCAACGUCGAGUCGGCCACUGAUACUGUUGGGCUUGAGCACUAUAGAGGCUAAUGGAAUUCCGGGUGUAGCGGUGGAAUGCGUAGAGAUCCGGAAGAACACCGGUGGCGAAGGCGGUUAGCUGGGCAGUUGCUGACACUGAGGCGCGACAGCGUGGGGAGCAAACAGG